rnacentral:rRNA from 1 species
UACGUAGGGGCCGAGCGUUGUCCGGAUUCAUUGGGCGUAAAGAGCUCGUAGGCGGUCGCGUAAGUCGGGUGUGAAAUCUCCGGGCUCAACCCGGAGGGGCCACCCGAUACUGCUCGACUUGAGUCCGGUAGGGGAGUGGGGAAGUCCUGGUGUAGCGGUGAAAUGCGCAGAUAUCAGGAGGAACACCGGUGGCGAAGGCGCCACUCUGGGCCGGUACUGACGCUGAGGAGCGAAAGCGUGGGGAGCAAACAGG